UUAGGUGAAGCAUCUCAGAUUACUCCAGGGAAUUCCCAAGUAAGAAAAUAUUGGGUUACUCCAACAGAUUCCAAAAGGGUAUGAUAUACGUAGGAGAUUCAUCUCAGAUAACUCAAAAAAAUUCCCAAGGUAGGAAAUAUAUGAUUACUCCAAAGGAUUCAAAAGUAUAGACGAGAAUCAAUCGGAUAACUUCAGCAAAUUUCCAAGGUAUGAAUUAUAAUUAAAAAAAUGAAUUAUCUCAGAUUACUUCAGCUUAUUCCUAAGUAAUAUAAGGACAAUAGUAGAAUCGUCUUUGGCACUCUGAUCUCAAGUUACUCCAGUGAUUCAGUAAAAAAGAAUCAUCACAAAUAACUCAAGCAAAUUCCUAAAUAAGAAAAUAUAGGGCUACUGCAACAGAUUCUGACAGUAUAUAAUAUAGGAGAAUCAUCUCAGAUAACUCAAGCAAAUUCCCAAGGAAGGAAAUAUAAUCAAUAAAUAGUAAAUAAUGUCCAAACACAUAAUCAACAGCUUUUGGUGAAGCUUCAUAGCCUGACCAGUUUUGGUCCUUCACAGACCUUCUUCAGAGGCAGAAUGAUUGAUUAGGGCCCCGCUGAAUGGCGGACGCCCUAUAGUGACCAGUAUGUCCGUCCGUCUGUCCGUCCAUCUCUCCGUCUGUCCGUCCGUAACAAAUUGUGUCCGCUCUAUAUCUAGAGAACUGUUAUGAUUUCAAAGUUUAUACUUAACAUGUAUAUUAACCAACACCAGAGGGUGUGUCAUAAUGUAUGUUCAACUUCCUAGGUCAAAGGUCAAGGUCAAAAACUGGUUUUAGUUGACAACCCCAUGUCCUAUGGUAAAGAUCGUGUCCGCUCCAUAUCUUGAGAACCGUUAUGAUUUCAGAGUUUAUACUUGACAUGUAUAUAAACCAACACCAGAGGGUGUGUCAUAAUUUAUGUACAACUUCCUAGGUCAAAGGUCAAGGUCAAAAACUGGUUUUAGUUGACAACCCCAUGUACUAUGGUAAAGAUCCUGUCCGCUCUAUAUCUUGAGAACCAUUAUGAUUUCAAAGUUUAUACUUGACAUGUAUAUAAACCAACACCAGAGGGUGUGUCAUAAUUUAUGUACAACUUCCUAGGUCAAAGGUCAAGGUCAAAAACUUUGGUUUCAGUUGACAACCCCAUGUCCAAUGAUAAAGAUACAAAUUUUUUACCACACAUUAUUUACAGCGGGGCCCACAGAGAUGGCUUCCAUCUCAAUGAUAUCUAGUUGAUAAUGGCACACUAUUCAUUAAGUGUCUGAAAGUUAUCCAUUACCAGCUAGCUAGCUGUUAUCCAUUUCCAUAUAGUUAUCAGUUAUACAUUACUGAAUAAUUUUACCCGUUUAGUGUAAUAACCAGUGGAAUUUUUAUCAGGAAAUAAUAGUUGAUAGAGAAAAUCUUUCGAUAGUUUAAAUGUUCAACAGAAUGUAAAUUAGUCCACAUGGACAAUUGUCAAAGGACUAUUUUCUUAUUACUGACUUUUGACUCUGGAGUAUAUAAAUUUUCGACAGGUUACCGACUCUGUGGUAGGACAUUCUGGUACUCCAUCAAGAAAGAGCAGCUAAAAGUUGUAAAAUUAAACUUACAAUAUGUGCAAUUUGGUGAAAAACAACUAUUUUAUGUUUUCUGUGCAAAAAAAAAAAAAAUACAUCGGAAAACAGUUAAGAAAAACAACUGUUUUAUGCUUUCUAUACAAAAAAAAAAUACAUCGUAAAACAGUUAAUUUUCCCCGCUUAUAUCACCAGUAUCAUAAGUUAUGUUGAAAAAUUAUAUAUUUCAGAGCAAAAAGUCUGUAAUAUGAAGAAGUCUAUUGACCUCUUAUACGAGGUAUUGCCCUUGAAAGAUUGAUUUUACUCCUUUUUAGCUCACCAGGGCCUGAAGGGCCCCAUGUGAGCUUAUGACAUCACUUGACGUCCGUUGUCGUCCGUCGUCUGUCGUCGUAGUCUGUCGUAAUCUGUCGUCAUCGUCUGUUGUUGUCUGUUGUUGUCUGUCAUCGUCUGUUGUCGUAAACUAUUUCAAAAAUCUUCUCCUCUGAAACUACUGGGCCAAAUACCUUCAAACUUUAACUAAAUGUUCCUUAGUUUAUAAAUUGUAUCCGAAGUUUUGAUCCAUCGACAGACAUGGCCUCCAUGGCUAAAAAUAGAACAUAGGGGUCAAAUGCAGUUUUUAUACGACCGCAAAAAUUGAAAAUUUUUUGGUCGUAUAUUGGUAUGACGUUGGCGUCGUCGUCGUCGUCGUCGUCGUCGUCUGGCGUCGUCCGGCGUCGUCCGAAGACACAUUGGUUUUCGCACUCUAACUUUAGUUUAAGUGAAUGGAUCUCCAUGAAAUUUUACCAUAAGGUUCAAUACCACAAAAGGAAGGUGGGGAUUGAUUUUGGGGUUAUGGUACCAACAGUUAAGGAAUUAGGGGCCAAAA